rnacentral:rRNA from 1 species
GUGGGGAAUCUUCCGCAAUGGACGAAAGUCUGACGGAGCAACGCCGCGUGAGUGAUGAAGGUCUUCGGAUUGUAAAGCUCUGUUAAUCGGGACGAAAGAGCCUAGUGUGAAUAAUGCUAGGAAGUGACGGUACCGGAAUAGAAAGCCACGGCUAACUACGUGCCAGCAGCCGCGGUAAUACGUAGGUGGCAAGCGUUGUCCGGAAUUAUUGGGCGUAAAGCGCGCGCAGGCGGAUCUGCCAGUCUGUCUUAAAAGUUCGGGGCUUAACCCCGUGAUGGGAUGGAAACUACAGAUCUAGAGUAUAGGAGAGGAAAGUGGAAUUCCUAGUGUAGCGGUGAAAUGCGUAGAUAUUAGGAAGAACACCAGUGGCGAAGGCGACUUUCUGGACGAAAACUGACGCUGAGGCGCGAAAGCCAGGGGAGCGAACGGGAUUAGAUACCCGAGUAGUCC